GCAUUCCAAUCCUAACCACCCAUCCAUUUUUAUAUAUUCCCAGCAAUCAUAUAUAUAUAUAUAGGAAAACCAAUGACCACCCACCCCUGGCUUCUUUCCUUCCUUCUCUUGUUCCUCCUCAUCCACCUCCUCCUUCUUGCAUCCCCUCCUCCUCCUUCCCAUCAUGUUGCUCUUGUUUCUGCUUUAGUCACCACUACUUCUGAAACAAAUGCUUUGGUGGCAUGGAAGGCGAGUCUUGACAACCACAGCCGAUCUAUUUUGUCCUCUUGGGUUGGAACCGACCCUUGCAAUCGAUGGAUUGGAAUUGAGUGUCACAAGUUCAUAAGGAGCAUUGCAUAUGUAAACCUCACAAGCCUUGCUUUGAGAGGUACGCUCCAUAGUUUUAAUUUCUCGUCCUUCCAACACCUCCAAAAGCUUGAUCUUAACAACAACUUCCUCUUCGGAAACAUUCCCUCCAAUCUAGGAAUGCUUAAGUCUCUCAAUCUCCUUGAUUUGUCAGUUAACAAGCUCACAGGACCAAUCCCAACUACUAUAGGAGACUUGGGCGACUUGACCACUUUGUACCUUCAUCAUAACAUGCUUUCUGGAUCUAUUCCUCGAGAGAUAGGAAUGCUUAAGUCUCUCAUUGUUCUUUCAUUGUCAUUUAACAAUCUCACAGGUUUAAUUCCAAGUUCGAUAAGAAAUUUAAAAAAAUUGACCACUUUGUACCUUGCGGCAAAUGAACUGACUGGAUGCAUCCCACAAGACAUUGGGCAAUUAAGUUCUCUUAUUAGCCUCCAAAUGGCUAGUAACCAUCUCACAGGGCCAAUCCCAACUACAAUAGGAGACUUGGGCAGCUUGACUAUCUUGUACCUUUAUAACAACAUGCUUUCUGGAUCUAUUCCUCAAGAGAUAGGAAUGCUUAAGUCUCUCAAUGACCUUGAUUUGGCAUUUAACAACCUCACAGGGCCAAUCCCAACUACUAUAGGAUACUUGGACAACUUAAACACCUUGAAACUUUUUUACAACAAACUCACGGGUACCAUUCCAACUGCAAUUGGAAAUUUUACUAAGCUCACCUCCCUAUCGCUGCAAGAAAAUCUAUUAUCAGGCCUACUCCCUCCAGAAAUAGGGAAAUUGAAGUCUCUUCAAGAGUUAUACUUGUUUGCGAACAAAUUUUAUGGCUCCAUUCCUCGAGAGAUGAAUAAUCUUACACAUUUGAGGGUAGUGGAUUUAUCUAAUAACAAUUUUGUUGGCCAUUUUCCAAAAAAUACAUGCCUUGGUGGUUUGCUUGUGAAGUUUCUUAUAGAAGGUAACCAUUUCAGGGGUUCCAUUGCAAAAAUUUUAAGGAACUGUACUACCCUAGUUAGGGUUAGACUUGAUAGGAAUCAGUUCACUGGAAACAUAUCAGAACAUUUUGGCAUAUACCCAAAUUUAAAUUAUAUUGAUUUGAGCAACAAUAAAUUCUAUGGUGAGCUUUCUCAUAAGUGGGGGCAAUGCUAUAGAAUGACGGCCCUAAAACUCUCCAACAAUAAAAUUUCAGGUGAGAUUCCUCAUGAACUUGGCGAAGCUACAAAACUACAAGUGCUUGACCUCUCCUCAAAUAACCUUGUUGGGACGAUCCCAAAGGAACUUGGGAGAUUGACAUCAAUGGCAUACCUUUUGCUAGACAACAACAAGCUUUCAGACACUAUUCCAUUAGAAAUUCUAAUGCUUUCAAGUCUAGAAAGUCUUAGCAUGGCAUCAAAUAACCUAAGUGGCUUAAUUCCCAAAGAAAUAGGUGAGUAUCCAAGAUUGUGGAUGUUGAAUAUGUCUAAUAAUAGAUUUGAAGGAACUUUGCCAUUUCAAAUUGGCAAGUUGAAAUUUCUGCAAUUUCUUGAUCUAAGCAUGAAUUUGUUGGUUGGAGUGAUACCACAACAGGUUGGCGAAUUGAAUAAGUUGGAAACAUUGAAUCUCUCCCACAAUGGAUUCUCCGGUUCAAUUCCAUCCACCUUUGAUGAUCUCAUUGCUUUGACAUCUGUCGACGUAUCCUACAAUAAGCACUUAGAGGGCCCUAUUCCUACGGCUAAGCCCUUUCAAAUUGCUCAAAUUGAUUCCUAUAGAAACACAAGCUUAUGUGGUAGUGUCCUAGGUUUGGAGGCUUGUCCCUCUACGAUGAGCCACAUUUCUCAUGAAAAAAAGGGAAACAAAAUCAUGAUCUUGACUACAGUCUUCAUAAUGGCAAUAGUAUUUUUCAUACUCAUUAUAGUUGGAGUUUUUUUUCUCCUUGGUUCUAGAGAAAAGAAAAUGGAUAACCAACCAAGGGAAAUGCAAAAUGAAAAUAUUUUUGCAGUCUGGAGGUAUGACGGGAUGAUGGUUUACGAACAAAUAGUCGAAGCGACAGAGGGAUUUAAUUCUAAGUAUUGCAUUGGAGUAGGAGGAUAUGGAGUUGUUUACAAAGCGAAGUUGCCUAGCACUGGCCAAGUUGUUGCCGUGAAGAAACUUCAUCCUUUACAAGAUGACGAGUCCAUGGACAAUUCAAAAGCUUUUGAAAGUGAGGUUCGAGCAUUGACGGAAAUAUGCCAUUGAAACAUUGUGAAGCUUUAUGGGUUUUGCUCACAUGUAGAGCAAUCCCUUCUUGUUUACCAGUUUGUAGAGAGAGGGAGCUUGGGGAAGAUGCUAAGCAAUGGUAAUCGAGAACAAGCAAUGGAGUUGAACUGGAGUAGGAGGGUAAAUGUGGUGAGAGGAAUUGCAAAUGCUUUGUCCUACAUGCACCAUGAUUGUUCACCCCCCAUAAUUCAUCGUGACAUAUCCAGUGACAAUGUUUUGUUGGAUUUGGAGUACGAAGCUCAUGUGUCUGAUUUUGGGACUGCUAGGCUUUUAAAGCCUGAUUCCUCCAAUUGGAGUUCACUGGCUGGGACAAUUGGAUACACAGCUCCAGAGCUUUCCUAUACGAUGAAAGUGACAGAGAAGUGUGAUGUUUAUAGCUUUGGAGUAGUGUCAAUGGAAGUAAUUAUGGGAAGGCAUCCAGGUGAUCUCAUCUCAUCUCUACCAUUCUCCUCGUCAUCACCAUCAACAUCAUCAUCAUUAUCCACUCACCAUGUACUGUUGAAAGAUGUGGUAGACCAAUGUCUAUCACCUCCUACAAAUAAACUUGCAAAUGAAGUGGUCUGGAUUGUGAAGCUAGCAUUUGCAUGCUUGUACACUAAUCCUCAAAUUCGACCAACAAUGCGACAAGUUUCACAGAAAUUAUCAGUUAAAAAGCCACCUCUGCAAAAGUCAUUCUCCACACUUACACUGGAUAACAUCUUGGUGACAGAUAUCUAACUAGGUAGCUAUCAAUAUCAACCUCACAUCAAUAUAAUUUUCUCUAUGAAAUUUUAUUGAUCUUACAUGUCAUAAUAACCAAAAUGUCCACGCUACAUGUAUCCUAAAUUUGGAUAUGAUUUAGGGGGAUUUCAUGUUGGUUUUCAAUUUAUAGAUAUUGUAGCUCAAAGUACUUGAGCAAUGGUGAUAUCAAGCAACAAGGAGGAUGACUUGAAGGAUUUUUUUUGCGGAGCUUGCUUACACAGUGGAAGCGACAAGGAAGUGUGAUGUUUAUAGCUUUGGAGUCAUAUCAGCGGAAGCAACUAUGGGAAUGAACUUGGGCAAUCUCAUCUCAUCCCUAUUGUUGUUGUCUGCUCAUCAUAUACUGCUGAAGGAUGUGAUACAAUAACACCUAUCAUUGCUUGCGAGUGAGAUUGAAGAUAAAGUGGCUCUGUUGUGAAACUAGCAUUUGCCUGUUUUCUCCGUAGUCCUCGAUAUCAACUAAAAUGUGACAAAUUUCCCAAAAAUUCACAAUUGGAAGGCCAUCAUUGUGCACUUCAUUCUCCAUAGUUACAUGGGUGAUUGCUUAGAUGCAAGUACCCAACUGGGUGAACUUUCGCAGACAUAUUUGUUUCUUUUCUUAUUUCCAUUGUUUUUACUUUUGUUCUCCAUUGUAAUCUGCUUCUCUAUUUGCAUUGCGAGGGCUAUUUUAAUUGUUGGAUUGUUUGUUUGAUCUUUU